rnacentral:rRNA from 1 species
GACAGAGGGGGCAAGCGUUGCUCGGAAUUACUGGGCGUAAAGAGCGUGUAGGCGGUUCGAUCAGUCCGCUGUGAAAGUCCAGGGCUCAACCCUGGAAAGCCGGUGGAUACUGUCGGGCUAGAGCACGGUAGAGGCAGAUGGAAUUCCCGGUGUAGCGGUGGAAUGCGUAGAGAUCGGGAAGAACAUCAGUGGCGAAGGCGGUCUGCUGGGCCGUUGCUGACGCUGAGGCGCGACAGCGUGGGGAGCAAACAGG